rnacentral:ncRNA from 1 species
AACAAGAGAGUCUAAACAUAUGUGCCAAGUUAUUGCGGGAGAUAUAACUAAUAGCGUAAAUUAACUUGAAAUAAUAAUGGGUAAUUAGUUUUUUUAACCUAUUUAUAGAUAAUUUACAACAAUCCUGGAUCCGUUCUAUGUAUAAUAUAAUGUAUGUAUAAUGUAUUAUAAUAAUAUUUAUAGUAUGUAUGCGUCUAACUGGAACGUACCUUGAGCAUAUAUGCUGUGACCCGAAAGAUGGUGAACUAUACUUGAUCAGGUUGAAGUCAGGGGAAACCCUGAUGGAACACCGAAACAGUUCUGACGUGCAAAUCGAUUGUCAGAAUUGAGUAUAGGGGCGAAAGACCAAUCGAACCAUCUAGUAGCUGGUUCCUUUCGAAGUUUCCCUCAGGAUGGCUGCUGCAUUUUAAUGUUAUAUAAAAUAAUCUUAUCUGGUAAAGCGAAUGAUUAGAGUCCUUAGGGUCGAAACGAUCUUAACCUAUUCUUUAAUGGGUAAGAACCUUAACUUUCUCGAUAUGAAGUAGUAAAUAGAACUAUAAAACGAGUUAACAGUUGCAGAUAGAAGUAGAAGUGUUUGGCGUAAGCCUUCAUGGAGCUGCCAUUGGCACAGAUCUUGGUGGUAGUAGCAAAUAAUCGAAUGAGACCUUGGAGGACUGAAGUGGAGAAGGGUUUCGUGUGAACAGUGGUUGAUCACGAGUAAGUCGGUCCUAAAUUCAAGGCGAAGCCGAAAAUUUUCAAGCAAAAAAUCAGUGAGUAAUAUUGUCAAAUCUUCUAUGAUUUUUAAAUACUUGAAUAAUUUUGAACGAAAGCGAAUACGGUUCCAAUUCAGUAACCUGUUGAGUAUCCGUUUGUUAUUAAAUAUGGGCCUCGUGCUCAUCCUGGCAACAGGAACGACGAUAAGGAAGCCAAGGAAGCCAUAAGGAAGUACUACCAUGGAAGUCUUUCGCAGAGAGAUAUGGUAGAUGGGCUAGAAGAGCAUACAUACAUGUAUGACAUGUACAUGACAUAUACUGUUGUGUGUAUAUUUUCUCCUCGGACCUUGAAAAUUUAUGGUGGGCACACGCAAACUUCUCAACAGGCCGUACUAAUAUCCGCAGCUGGUCUCCAAGGUGAAGAGUCUCUAGUC